AAGUAUCAUGAUCAGGUAAGACAAGUUUUACUGCGAAUUUCUUGAUUUUUUGAAUUUUUGUUUUCAGAUUUUUAAUAUUAUUGGCAUUUUGUGCAUCUGCCUAUUGCGCGGAUCAUAAUUUAUUUAAAAAUUGUACAAGAAUUCCGUUUUGUGCCAAAUUGAGAAAUCAAACUCUUGAUGACGAUUCCCAAUUUGCAGCCGUUUUGACGAAUUUUAAAAAAAUCGGAGAGGUGGCAUAUAUACCUUUAAUUAACGGAAAAAAUGAGUCGUUACAGUUGCAAAUUUCGUUAUUGACAGGGGACCAGGUGAGGCUAGAAAUAGCAGAAGUGAACAACUCGAGAUACAAACUUGUAGAUGCUUUAGAUGGAGAACCAGAACUCAUAUUUAUCAAUAAUAUGAGGAUAACAGGCGAUUCUAUAAUAUUAUCCAAUAGUUUAUCCAACGUUCAAGUAAGAGUGCAAAAAGGCCCCCCAUUUGUAGUGGUUCUUUCUUUCAGUGGAAACUUACAAAUGCUGUUAAAAGGGAAUCGGCUGGUCAU